rnacentral:lncRNA from 1 species
UAUGAAUUGCCAAAUGUCGAUAUCGACCGACAAUACUUUAGUUUCCCUUUUAACAUUUUUUUACGAAAAAGGACUUUCAUUGAGAAUUUUGAUAGUACUAUCAAAAACUGGUUUUGAAUUAGAAAAACAUAUUAAAUUCAUAACUAUUAAACAUACUAGUUUGAGUUUCUUUAAAUCAAUGUGUGAACUGAACGGUAACAUUUAUGACUAUAUUUUCUCCAGAAAAAAAACAUUUUUGAAUAUAUAUUUAAUAAAGACUUAUUUAAAAGUUUGAGCUGUAAACAUAGUAUAUUCAAUUCGCCUCAUAUGACGAAGUUGCAUGUGUGUAAUUUGAAGAGAUAUAACCACAUCCAGUGACGUACUUAUUGGUUGAUCUUUGGU